rnacentral:rRNA from 1 species
GACGAACGCUGGCGGCGUGCCUAAUACAUGCAAGUCGAGCGGAGCUUAUCCUUCGGGGUAAGCUUAGCGGCGGACGGGUGAGUAACACGUAGGCAACCUGCCCCUUAGCCUGGGAUAACUACCGGAAACGGUAGCUAAUACCGGAUAAUUUCUUUUUUCUCCUGAAGAGGGAAUGAAAGGCGGAGCAAUCUGCCAUUAAGGGAUGGGCCUGCGGCGCAUUAGCUCGUUGGUGGGGUAACGGCUCACCAAGGCGACGAUGCGUAGCCGACCUGAGAGGGUAAACGGCCACACGGGGACUGAGACACGGCCCAGAUUCCGACGGGAGGCAGCAGUAGGGAAUCUUCCGCAAUGGGCGAAAGCCUGACGGAGCAACGCCGCGUGAGUGAUGAAGGUUUUCGGAUCGUAAAGCUCUGUUGCCAGGGAAGAACGUCCGGUAGAGUAACUGCUACCGGAGUGACGGUACCUGAGAAGAAAGCCCCGGCUAACUACGUGCCAGCAGCCGCCGUAA